rnacentral:rRNA from 1 species
AGAGUUUGAUCAUGGCUCAGAACGAACGCUGGCGGCAGGCCUAACACAUGCAAGUCGAGCGCGCCUUCGGGUGAGCGGCGGACGGGUUAGUAACGCGUGGGAACGUGCCCUUUUCUACGGAAUAGCCUCUGGAAACGGAGAGUAAUACCGUAUACGCCCUUUGGGGGAAAGAUUUAUCGGAGAAGGAUCGGCCCGCGUUAGAUUAGGUAGUUGGUGGGGUAAUGGCCUACCAAGCCUACGAUCUAUAGCUGGUUUUAGAGGAUGAUCAGCAACACUGGGACUGAGACACGGCCCAGACUCCUACGGGAGGCAGCAGUGGGGAAUCUUAGACAAUGGGGGCAACCCUGAUCUAGCCAUGCCGCGUGAGUGAUGAAGGCCUUAGGGUCGUAAAGCUCUUUCGCCUGUGAUGAUAAUGACAGUAGCAGGUAAAGAAACCCCGGCUAACUCCGUGCCAGCAGCCGCGGUAAUACGGAGGGGGUUAGCGUUGUUCGGAAUUACUGGGCGUAAAGCGCGCGUAGGCGGAUUAGAAAGUUGGGGGUGAAAUCCCGGGGCUCAACCCCGGAACUGCCUCCAAAACUGCUAGUCUAGAGUUCGAGAGAAGUGAGUGGAAUUCC